rnacentral:miRNA from 1 species
UCGUCAAAGUGGCUCUGAUGUG